UGGGGAAUAUUGCACAAUGGGCGCAAGCCUGAUGCAGCGACGCCGCGUGGGGAAUGACGGCCUUCGGGUUGUAAACCUCUUUCAGCAGGGACGAAGCGAAAGUGACGGUACCUGCAGAAGAAGUACCGGCCAACUACGUGCCAGCAGCCGCGGUAAUACGUAGGGUGCGAGCGUUGUCCGGAAUUACUGGGCGUAAAGAGCUCGUAGGUGGUUUGUCGCGUUGUUCGUGAAAACCGGGGGGCUUAACCCUCGGCGUGCGGGCGAUACGGGCAGACUAGAGUACUGCAGGGGAGACUGGAAUUCCUGGUGUAGCGGUGGAAUGCGCAGAUAUCAGGAGGAACACCGGUGGCGAAGGCGGGUCUCUGGGCAGUAACUGACGCUGAGGAGCGAAAGCGUGGGGAGCGAACAGGAUUAGAUACCCUGGUAGUCCACGCCGUAAACGGUGGGUACUAGGUGUGGGGUUUCCUUCCUUGGGAUCCGUGCCGUAGCUAACGCAUUAAGUACCCCGCCUGGGGAGUACGGCCGCAAGGCUAAAACUCAAAUGAAUUGAC
rnacentral:rRNA from 1 species